rnacentral:rRNA from 1 species
GAACGCUAUCUACAGGCUUAACACAUGCAAGUCGAGGGGCAUCAGGAAGAUUGCUUGCUUUCUUUGCUGGCGACCGGCGCACGGGUGAGUAACACGUAUCCAACCUGCCCUUUACUCGGGGAUAGCCUUUCGAAAGAAAGAUUAAUACCCGAUGGCAUAAUGAUUCCGCAUGGUUUCAUUAUUAAAGGAUUCCGGUAAAGGAUGGGGAUGCGUUCCAUUAGGUUGUUGGUGAGGUAACGGCUCACCAAGCCUUCGAUGGAUAGGGGUUCUGAGAGGAAGGUCCCCCACAUUGGAACUGAGACACGGUCCAAACUCCUACGGGAGGCAGCAGUGAGGAAUAUUGGUCAAUGGGCGCUAGCCUGAACCAGCCAAGUAGCGUGAAGGAUGAAGGCUCUAUGGGUCGUAAACUUCUUUUAUAUAAGAAUAAAGUGCAGUAUGUAUACUGUUUUGUAUGUAUUAUAUGAAUAAGGAUCGGCUAACUCCGUGCCAGCAGCCGCGGUAAUACGGAGGAUCCGAGCGUUAUCCGGAUUUAUUGGGUUUAAAGGGAGCGUAGGUGGACUGGUAAGUCAGUUGUGAAAGUUUGCGGCUCAACCGUAAAAUUGCAGUUGAUACUGUCAGUCUUGAGUACAGUAGAGGUGGGCGGAAUUCGUGGUGUAGCGGUGAAAUGCUUAGAUAUCACGAAGAACUCCGAUUGCGAAGGCAGCUCACUGGACUGCAACUGACACUGAUGCUCGAAAGUGUGGGUAUCAAACAGGAUUAGAUACCCUGGUAGUCCACACAGUAAACGAUGAAUACUCGCUGUUUGCGAUAUACAGUAAGCGGCCAAGCGAAAGCAUUAAGUAUUCCACCUGGGGAGUACGCCGGCAACGGUGAAACUCAAAGGAAUUGACGGGGGCCCGCACAAGCGGAGGAACAUGUGGUUUAAUUCGAUGAUACGCGAGGAACCUUACCCGGGCUUAAAUUGCAGUGGAAUGAUGUGGAAACAUGUCAGUGAGCAAUCACCGCUGUGAAGGUGCUGCAUGGUUGUCGUCAGCUCGUGCCGUGAGGUGUCGGCUUAAGUGCCAUAACGAGCGCAACCCUUAUCUUUAGUUACUAACAGGUUAUGCUGAGGACUCUAGAGAGACUGCCGUCGUAAGAUGUGAGGAAGGUGGGGAUGACGUCAAAUCAGCACGGCCCUUACGUCCGGGGCUACACACGUGUUACAAUGGGGGGUACAGAAGGCAGCUAGCGGGUGACCGUAUGCUAAUCCCAAAAGCCUCUCUCAGUUCGGAUCGAAGUCUGCAACCCGACUUCGUGAAGCUGGAUUCGCUAGUAAUCGCGCAUCAGCCACGGCGCGGUGAAUACGUUCCCGGGCCUUGUACACACCGCCCGUCAAGCCAUGGGAGCCGGGGGUACCUGAAGUACGUAACCGCAAGGAUCGUCCUAGGGUAAAACUGGUGACUG